rnacentral:rRNA from 1 species
UACGGGGGGGGCAAGCGUUGUUCGGAAUUACUGGGCGUAAAGGGCGCGUAGGCGGCCCGCUAAGUCAGACGUGAAAUCCCUCGGCUCAACCGGGGAACUGCGUCUGAUACUGGCAGGCUUGAAUCCGGGAGAGGGAUGUGGAAUUCCAGGUGUAGCGGUGAAAUGCGCAGAUAUCAGGAAGAACACCCGUGGCGAAGGCGGCUCUCUGGGACGGUACUGACGCUGAGACGCGAAAGCGUGGGGAGCGAACAGG